GGCGGCAUGCCUAAGACAUGCAAGUCGAACGAAGUCUUCGGACUUAGUGGCGCACGGGUGAGUAACAUGUGGGAAUCUACCUAAAGGUUCGGAAUAACUGCGGGAAACUGUAGCUAAUACCGGAUGUGUCCGUAAGGAGAAAGAUUUAUCGCCUUUAGAUGAGCCCGCACUAGAUUAGCUUGUUGGUGAGGUAAAAGCUCCACCAAGGCUACGAUCUAUAGCUGAUUUGAGAGGAUGAUCAGCCACACUGGGACUGAGACACGGCCCAGACUCCUACGGGAGGCAGCAGUCGGGAAUAUUGGACAAUGGGGGAAACCCUGAUCCAGCAAUGCCGCGUGAGUGAAGAAGGCCCUCGGGUUGUAAAACUCUUUCAUCAAUGAAGAUAAUGACAUUAAUUGAAGAAGAAGCUCCGGCUAACUCCGUGCCAGCAGCCGCGGUAAUACGGAGGGGGCUAGCGUUGUUCGGAAUUACUGGGCGUAAAGCGUAUGUAGGCGGAUCAAAAAGUUAGAUGUGAAAUCCCUGGGCUUAACCUAGGAACUGCAUUUAAAACUAGUGAUCUAGAAUUUGGUAGGGGUUAGUAGAAUUUCCAGUGUAGAGGUGAAAUUCGUAGAUAUUGGAAAGAAUACCAGUGGCGAAGGCGACUAACUGGGCCAUUUUUGACGCUGAGAUACGAAAGCGUGGGUAGCAAACAGGAUUAGAUACCCUGGUAGUCCACGCAGUAAACGAUGAGUGCUAGUCGCUGGGUCAAUAGAUUCAGUGUCGAAGCUAACGCAUUAAGCACUCCGCCU
rnacentral:rRNA from 1 species